AUGUUGAAACACCAGUUCCUCUAUGGUCACUGAAAUUAAGCAAUGACGAGCCUGGUUAGUACUUAUAUGGGUGACCACUUUAGAAUACCAGGUGUUGUAAG